UAGUUUUAAAGAGCACCAAUUAUGCUAAUAAAUUGGCACGUUAGCACGUUAUUGCAAUAUCCCAUAGUACAUACAUGUUAUUAAAACUUGAACUAAUGCAUUGUGAGUCUUAUAAAUUGCUUACAUACCUCACCGAUUUCCCACUGUCUGGAAAACGCUCGGUUUAGUUCCUGUCUCCGCCUCCCAAAAUGUCUAGUGUAAUCGGAUUGGUCAGAUGACUACUCAACUGUUAUUGGUCAGCUGGGUUCGGCGUGUGUUUGAAAGGUUACGCCCCUGACUACGCGUGGGUUGACACAGAUUCUGACUGAGAGUCACAGCCUCAGAGGCAACGUAAACAAGCGUUAUAUUUCUCUAUAAACGAUGGUGUCUGUACUGCCUUACCACUUCGAGCUCGAUCCAGAGAGUUCAGAAGGCCGUUACGAUAUAAACGAUCUCCGUCAAUGAAUGCGAUUGGAUUUAACUUUUUUAGGUGUCCUUAGCUCUGCCAGAAUGCUAAACGAAGACGAAAAUGUGUUGCAAAGACAUCCAAAAGGUUUUAAGGAGAAUGCAACAGGUUCCAGGGCCUCUUACCUGCGUGAUUCAUCAUCCAGGUUUUGCACAAAUUGUCUAAAUCCCUACACACAGAACAUUUAUUGUACCGACUAUAAGCCUUUGAGGUGCAGGACUAGAAUACGCUUGGAGCUUCCUGAUCAGAUCGGUCACAAUUUUGGCUUUCGACGACCCCUGCACUGAAGAUGGCAUGCAAUCACGUCCUCCUUUGAAGGUCUCUCAAACUGUGAUGCCGGGUCCAUUGGAAUCGGGGUUUCCU